rnacentral:sRNA from 12 species
ACCGCGCCUAGCCCGACGGGGUGAAAUCCGGGUUCCCUUACCCGGUUGGCGCGGUCGUUUCCGUAAGGG